rnacentral:rRNA from 1 species
AUUGAACGCUGGCGGCAGGCCUAACACAUGCAAGUCGAGCGGAUGAUGGGAGGUUGCUCCUGGAUUCAGCGGCGGACGGGUGCGGAAUGCCUAGGAAUCUGCCUGGUAGUGGGGGACAACGUGUCGAAAGGAACGCUAAUACCGCAUACGUCCUACGGGAGAAAGCAGGGGACCUGCGGGCCUUGCGCUAUCAGAGGAGCCUAGGUCGGAUUGGCUAGUAGGUGAGGUAAAGGCUCACCUAGGCGACGAUCCUGAACUGGUCUGAGAGGAUGAUCAGUCACACUGGAGCUAAAACACGUGCCAGACGCCUACGGGAUGCAGCGGUGCGGAAUAUCGGACAAUGGGCGAAAGCCUAAUGCAGACAUGCCGCGUGUGUGAAGAAGGUCUUCGGAUUGUAGAGCACUUUAAGUUGGGAGGAAGGGCAGCGAGUUAAUACCUUGCUGUUUUGACGUUACCGACAGAAUAAGCACCGGCUAACUUCGUGCCAGCAGCCGCGGUAAAAC